GACGAACCGUGCGAACGUUAUUCGGAAUCACUGGGCUUAAAGCGCGUGUAGGCGGAUCGCCGCGUCGGCUGCUGAAAUCCCCCGGCUCAACCGGGGAACUGGCACCGAAACGGGCGGUCUGGAGGGGGUAGGGGGGUCUGGAACUUCCGGUGGAGCGGUGAAAUGCGUUGAGAUCGGAAGGAACGCCCGUGGCGAAAGCGAGGCCCUGGACCCUUACUGACGCUGAGACGCGAAAGCCAGGGGAGCGAACGGG
rnacentral:rRNA from 1 species